rnacentral:rRNA from 1 species
GCAGGUUGAAGCGCGGGUAAGACCGCGUGGAGGACCGAACCCACCUGGGUUGAAAACCGGGGGGAUGACCUGGGGCUAGGGGUGAAAGGCCAAUCAAAUUCCGUGAUAGCUGGUUCUCUCCGAAAUGCAUUUAGGUGCAGCGUCGGUCGAUUGCGUCGCGGGGGUAGAGCUACCGGAUGCUUGCGGGCCCUUGUUGGGUACCAACAGCAGCCGAACUCCGAAUACCGUUGACGUGUAUUCCGGCAGUGAGUCGGCGGGGGAUAAGCUCCGUCGUCGAGAGGGAGACAGCCCAGACCGUCGUCUAAGGUCCCGAAGCGUGUGCUAAGUGGGAAAGGAUGUGGAGUCGCAUAGACAGCCAGGAGGUUGGCUCAGAAGCAGCCAUCCUUGAAAGAGUGCGUAACAGCUCACUGGUCUAGUGGUUCCGCGCCGACAAUGUAGCGGGGCUCAAGCACACCACCGAAGACGCGGCAGCAAUCUUCAUGGUUGCUGGGUAGGAGAGCGUCCUGCGAGGGGCGAAGCGGCGGUGGAAACCGGCCGUGGACUUCGUGGGAGUGAGAAUGCAGACAUGAGUAGCGAGAGACGGGUGAGGAUCCCGUCCGCUGGAUGACCAAGGGUUCCGGGGCCACGUUCGUCGUCCCCGGGUGAGUCGGGUCCUAAGGCGAGGCCGACAGGCGUAGUCGAAUGGAUGAACGGGUGGAUAUUCCCGUACCGACCAUGGACCGGCAAAACCGAGACGGUGAGUACUAACCUCCGCCUCGUGGUGGUUCCUUCCUUCGGGUUGGUGUCGCCGCGUGGUGUUGGGAGCGUAGCCGCAGUAGGUCAGCGCAGGGGUGACACGGAAUGGGAGCCGGCCGCGGAGGUGGUUUUCCGUGGUCAAGCACGCAGCCAGUCAUGUAGGCAAAUCCGCAUGGCGCGCAUGGCGAGGUGUGAUGAUGGGAGCCGUUAUGGCUCGAUAUCCGGUUGUCCAGGCCGUCGAGAAAAGCCUCGGCGUGAGGGCCAUGGCCGCCCGUACCCCAAACCGACACUGGUGGUCAGGUAGAGAAUACCAAGGCGAUCGAGCGAAUCCUGGUCAAGGAACUCGGCAAAUCACUCCCGUGCCUUCGGUAUAAGGGAGACCCGCUGGGGUGAACCGGCUAGCCCGGGGAGCUUUGGUGGGUGGCACAGACCAGGGGGUAGCGACUGUUUACCAAAAACACAGGUGCAUGCGAAGGCGAAAGCCGCUGUAUAUGCACUGACGCCUGCCCGGUGCCGGAAGGUUAAGAGGAUCCGUCAAUCCCUUCGGGGACGAAGCGGUGAAUUCAAGCCCCGGUAAACGGCGGUGGUAACUAUAACCAUCCUAAGGUAGCGAAAUUCCUUGUCGGGUAAGUUCCGACCUGCACGAAUGGCGUAACGACUUCCCCACUGUCUCGACCAGGAGCUCGGCGAAAUUGCAGUACGAGUAAAGAUGCUCGUUAAGCGCAGAAGGACGAAAAGACCCCGGGACCUUUACUAUACCUUGGUAUUGGCGUUAGGCGCGGAUUGUGUAGCAUAGGCGGGAGGCUUCGAAGCGGGUGCGCCAGCAUUCGUGGAGCCGCAAGGUGAAAUACCGCUCUGUUCUCGUUUGACGUCUAACCUCGACAAGUCAUCCUUGUCAGGGACAGUGCCUGGCGGGUAGUUCAACUGGGGCGGUUGCCUCCCAAAGAGUAACGGAGGCGCUCAAAGGUCCGCUCAGCCCGGUUGGCAAUCGGGUGUCGAGUGUAAUCGCACAAGCGGGCUUGACUGCGAGGACGACGGUCCGAGCAGGGACGAAAGUCGGAGAUAGUGAUCCGGUGCCGGCGCACGGGCGCGGCAUCGCUCAACGGAUAAAAGGUACCCCGGGGAUAACAGGCUGAUCAUUCCCAAGAGUCCAUAUCGACGGGAUGGUUUGGCACCUCGAUGUCGGCUCGUCGCAUCCUGGGGCUGGAGCAGGUCCCAAGGGUUCGGCUGUUCGCCGAUUAAAGCGGCACGCGAGCUGGGUUCAGAACGUCGUGAGACAGUUUGGUCUCUAUCCUCUGCGCUCGUUGGAAUCCUGAGGAGGCCUGCCCAUAGUACGAGAGGACCUGGGUGGACGAACCUCUGGUAUGCCGGUUGUC